rnacentral:rRNA from 1 species
UACGUAGGUGGCAAGCGUUGUCCGGAUUUACUGGGCGUAAAGAGCGCGCAGGCGGUCGUUCAAGUCGCGUGUGAAAGCCCCCGGCUCAACUGGGGAGGGUCACGCGAUACUGAUCGACUCGAAGGCAGGAGAGGGUAGUGGAAUUCCCGGUGUAGUGGUGAAAUGCGUAGAUAUCGGGAGGAACACCGGUGGCGAAGGCGGCAUCCUGGACCGAUAUUGACGCUGAGGCGCGAAAGCCAGGGGAGCAAACGGG